CGACGAUGGCGUACCCGGUCGACGCAUCCGCUAUGAGGUGGCGGCGGUCGGACAGGGUCAGCGCGACGCCGACGUCGUCGCC
rnacentral:tRNA from 1 species